CUGUAGGAUACGUGAUGAUAAACUUGGUCAUGUGACCCACAGGCAUGCACCGUGCAAGACUCCGACGCUCCAGAGGCAAAGCAGGCCGGUACUCGAUCUGAGCUGGAAGAAUGACAGGAAGUGGGAGGAGUCAGUCAGGGGUUAGGACUUAAUAUUUUGUUAAAAAUAACAUAUAAACAUGGACCAAUCCCGUCUCUCUGGAGAUGGGGAUUAAGGUUUAAGAGUGGAACUGUGUAUUAGAUGUGAUUUGGAUGAUGCGAUCGUUCCAGUCCUCGGGUCCUGAGAGAAGCGAUGCCCUCUGAGGCGAGUGCGCUGUGGGAUGAUUUAAACAUGAGGUUCGCAAUGGUGAUAAACUGGUGGCUAUAAACCUCCCAGAUCUGUAAACUACGUUAGCAUCAUAUCCUGAAUGCAGAAUUACGGAAGCAAAUGUUGUGGAUCAAAUAUCUGAGAGGGACAGAGAGACAGAGGGAAAGUAAGGGAGAGAGAGACAGGGGGAAAGUAAGGGAGAGAGAGACAGGGGGAAAGUAAGGGAGAGAGAGACAGGGGGAAAGUAAGGGAGAGAGAGACAGGGGGAAGUAAGGAGAGAGAGACAGGGGGAAAGUAAGGGAGAGAGAGACAGGGGAAAGGUAAGGGAGAGAGAGAGAAGGGGAAAGUAAAUGAGAGUGAGACAGGGGGAAAGUAAGGGAGAGAGAGACAGGGGGAAAGUAAUGAGAAGAGAGACAGGGGGAAGUAAGUGAGAGAGAGACAGGGAGAAAGUAAGGGAGAGAGAGACAGGGGGAUAGUAAGUGAGAGAGAGACAGGGGGAAGUAAGUGAGAGAGAGACAGGGAGAAAGUAAGGGAGAGAGAGACAGGGGGAUAGUAAGUGAGAGAGAGACAGGGGGAAAGUAAGGGAGAGAGAGACAGGGGGUAAGUAAGGGAGAGAGAGACAGGGGGAUAGUAAGUGAGAGAGAGACAGGGGGAAGUAAGUGAGAGAGAGACAGGGAGAAAGUAAGGGAGAGAGAGACAGGGGGAUAGUAAGUGAGAGAGAGACAGGGGGAAAGUAAGGGAGAGAGAGACAGGGGGGUAAUAAGUGAGAGAGAGACAGGGGGAAAGUAAGUGAGGGACACAAGAGAAAGCGACAGUGAGAGACAGACAGACAGGCAUUGGAGAGAGAUACAAAAAGACAUAGAAAGGAAGAGGAGACCGCGAGAGGAGGGGAACACUGAGGGAGAGAAACGGAGAGAGAUGAGAGAGACACACAGAGAGACAAAGACAGACACAGAGAGAUACAGAAAAAGAAAGAGAUACACCGGGUGAGAAAGACUCCGAGAGAGAGAGAGACACGAGUGAAAGAGCCUGAGGAAAAAAACGGAGGAAAAAGAAACGGUGAAAAGACACAGAUGGAGAGAUAUGAUAGAUUCACCAGAGAGAGAGAGAGAGAGAGAGAGAGAGAGAGAGAGAGAGAGAGAGCUGCAGUAUGAGGACAUUAUGGUGUAUGAGAGCAGACGUCUCGCAGCACUCUGAUCAGCUCGUCUUAUCGAUCUGAGUGCCGCGCUCUCUCAUAAGACAGCACUCUGCUAAAUUG
ensembl:lncRNA